rnacentral:ncRNA from 1 species
AUAGGAUGACGCCGGAUCACGCGAGGGUUUCUUAACCAGCAUGCUUGUCAUGUGGUAGUCGCGCCGGGUAUCCUUUCUUUU